UGGGGAAUUUUGGACAAUGGGGGAAACCCUGAUCCAGCCAUGCCGCGUGCGGGAUGAAGGCCUUCGGGUUGUAAACCGCUUUUGUCAGAGACGAAAAGGGACGUACGAAUAAUACGUUCCGCUGACGGUAUCUGAAGAAUAAGCACCGGCUAACUACGUGCCAGCAGCCGCGGUAAUACGUAGGGUGCAAGCGUUAAUCGGAAUUACUGGGCGUAAAGGGUGCGCAGGCGGCUGUGCAAGACAGAUGUGAAAUCCCCGGGCUUAACCUGGGAACUGCAUUUGUGACUGCACGGCUAGAGUUUGUCAGAGGAGGGUGGAAUUCCGCGUGUAGCAGUGAAAUGCGUAGAUAUGCGGAAGAACACCAAUGGCGAAGGCAGCCCUCUGGGACAUGACUGACGCUCAUGCACGAAAGCGUGGGGAGCAAACAGG
rnacentral:rRNA from 1 species